GCUAGUGUAGCUUAAUACAAAGCAUAACACUGAAGAUGUUAAGAUGGGCCCUGAGAAGCUCCACAUGCA
rnacentral:tRNA from 2 species